rnacentral:rRNA from 1 species
GAGUUUGAUCCUGGCUCAGAUUGAACGCUGGCGGCGUGCCUAACACAUGCAAGUCGAGCGGUAACAGGUGUAGCAAUACAUGCUGACGAGCGGCGAACGGGUGAGUAAUGCUUCGGAAUCUACCUUAUGGUGGGGAAUAACUAGCCGAAAGGUUAGCUAAUACCGCAUACGUCCUACGGGAGAAAGCAGGGGAUCGUAAGACCUUGCGCCAAAAGAUGAGCCGAAGUCGGAUUAGCUAGUUGGUAGGGUAACGGCCUACCAAGGCGACGAUCCGUAGCUGGUCUGAGAGGACGACCAGCCACACUGGGACUGAGACACGGCCCAGACUCCUACGGGAGGCAGCAGUGGGGAAUAUUGGACAAUGGGGGAAACCCUGAUCCAGCGACGCCGCGUGUGUGAAGAAGGCCUGCGGGUUGUUAAAGCACCUUUUAAGUGGGGAUGAAAUGUGCAGGGUUAACUACCUCUGCAUNUUGACCUAACCCACAGAAAAAGCCCCGGCUAACU